GCUACUGCACCUAUUGUGUGUCGCGAUCUCGCUCUCCGCUUCCCGCUCGGGUGUCUGUGGAGGAAGGCUACGUUUCAUUGCCGCCUCGGCUUAACCCCUCCGGUGCCUAACAGGACAGUAAGCCGGCUCCCUGGGAUCAGGAAAAACUCCUGGGAGCUGAAGAACUCGGGUAACAAGACCCUAGGGUGCAAAAAAGUCAGUUGAAGAAGGAGCACGAGUGCUAGGGCUCGGCACUCCAGCUUUGCUGGGGUGGGGCAGAGGCGCUGGCUUUAAGAAGGGGGAGGGGAGAGUGCAAUCUGGAUUGCCCGCGGACUUCGGCAAAGGAAAUCUGCGAGCUCGGAAGCGAGGAGCAGGGAGGAGAGAGGAGGGGCGGCUCCCAUCCCCAGCUCCCGCCCCCGCCUACACCCUGGGAGGGCUGAAGUAUUCACGUUUGCACUUAGAAGGAUCCCUCCCGUCUCUGGUGGCGAGCUGGGCUGCGGUUUCUGCUGCCGGUCUGGGGAGGUGAUGCCUAGGGGGUAUGCUGAUUGCUAAGCAGCACCCCGCUGGGAUCCGACUGCUUUAGUUACCUUUCCAGGUCACCUGAAGCAAUCCUAGGAUCGCCCGUUUCCGGUUCAGACCAGCCAGGUCUCCCCAGGAAUCUCAUCAGAACAGAACCAUGGGGCAUCCCCCUCUGGAGUUCAGGGACUGCUAUCUGGACAGUCCCAAUUUUCGCGAGAGGCUCAAGUGUUAUGAGCAGGAGCUGGAGAGGACCAAUAAAUUCAUCAAAGACGUGAUCAAAGACGGCAACGCGCUAAUCAGCGCAAUGAGAAUGGUUUUCUGUUUCUGAAUAUGCAUAGAAAGCCCAAAAGAAGACAAGUAGGAAAUAAAACCAAGAAGCUAACCCAUACUCCAUUUCUUUCCUGUAAGUUGCAUGAUUCUAAA